GACGAACGCUGGCGGCGUGCCUAAUACAUGCAAGUAGAACGCUGAAGAGAGGAGCUUGCUCUUCUUGGAUGAGUUGCGAACGGGUGAGUAACGCGUAGGUAACCUGCCUGGUAGCGGGGGAUAACUAUUGGAAACGAUAGCUAAUACCGCAUAAAAUUGAUUAUUGCAUGAUAAUUAAUUGAAAGAUGCAACUGCAUCACUACCAGAUGGACCUGCGCUGUAUUAGCUAGUUGGUGAGGUAACGGCUCACCAAGGCGACGAUACAUAGCCGACCUGAGAGGGUGAUCGGCCACACUGGGACUGAGACACGGCCCAGACUCCUACGGGAGGCAGCAGUAGGGAAUCUUCGGCAAUGGGGGGAAGCCUGACCGAGCAACGCCGCGUGAGUGAAGAAGGUUUUCGGAUCGUAAAGCUCUGUUAUAAGGGAAGAACGGGUGUGAGAGUGGAAAGUUCACACUGUGCCGGUAUCUUACCAGAAAGCGCCGGCUAACUACGUG
rnacentral:rRNA from 1 species